rnacentral:rRNA from 1 species
GAUGAACGCUGGCGGCGUGCUUAACACAUGCAAGUCGAACGAUGAAGGGGGCUUGCUCCUGGAUUAGUGGCGAACGGGUGAGUAACACGUGAGUAACCUGCCCUUGACUCUGGGAUAAGCCUGGGAAACUGGGUCUAAUACCGGAUAUGACCUUCCAUCGCAUGGUGGUUGGUGGAAAGCUUUUGUGGUUUUGGAUGGACUCGCGGCCUAUCAGCUUGUUGGUGAGGUAAUGGCUUACCAAGGCGACGACGGGUAGCCGGCCUGAGAGGGUGACCGGCCACACUGGGACUGAGACACGGCCCAGACUCCUACGGGAGGCAGCAGUGGGGAAUAUUGCACAAUGGGCGCAAGCCUGAUGCAGCGACGCCGCGUGAGGGAUGACGGCCUUCGGGUUGUAAACCUCUUUCAGUAGGGAAGAAGCCGCAAGGUGACGGUACCUGCAGAAGAAGCGCCGGCUAACUACGUGCCAGCCGCCGCGGUAACAC